rnacentral:rRNA from 1 species
UACGUAGGGGGCGAGCGUUGUCCGGAAUCAUUGGGCGUAAAGCGCACGUAGGCGGUCUGUUAUGUCGGAUGUGAAAGCCCUUGGCUCAACUGAGGAAGUGCAUCCGAAACUGGCAGGCUAGAGUACGAAAGAGGAUCGCGGAAUUCCCGGUGUAGAGGUGAAAUUCGUAGAUAUCGGGAGGAACACCGGUGGCGAAGGCGGCGAUCUGGGUCGAUACUGACGCUGAGGUGCGAAAGCGUGGGGAGCGAACAGG